rnacentral:rRNA from 1 species
UACGUAGGGGGCGAGCGUUGUCCGAAGUUACUGGGCGUAAAGCGCGCGUAGGCGGGUUGGCAAGUCUGCUGUGAAAGCCCGGGGCUCAACCCCGGAGGGUCGGUGGAUACUGCCAGUCUUGAAGGUGCUAGGGAGAGAUGGAAUUACCGGUGUAGCGGUGAAAUGCGUAGAGAUCGGUAGGAACACCAGUGGCGAAGGCGGUCUCUUGGGGCAUUCUUGACGCUGAGGCGCGAAAGCUGGGGGAGCGAACGGG